UUGUUAUGGCAUAAUAGACUAGGGAAUAUACUUUUUGUUAGGAUGAAAGACAUGCCUUCUAUACCAUGUAAAUUUUCCACAAAGCAGCCUUUUCUCUGUACUAUAUGUCCUUUGGCCAGGCAAUCUAGACUACCCUUUCUUGACAGUUCAAUUAAAACAACACAUGCUUUUCAACUAAUCCAUGUUGAUACAUGGGGUCCCUGUGCCACUUCUACUCAUAAUGGUUGUAGAUAUUUUUUAACAAUAGUUGAUGACUUUACCAGAGCUACUUGGACCCACCUUAUGGGGUCCAAGAGUAAUGCCUUUCCUAUCAUUAAAGCCUUCAUUGCCAUGGUUAAAACUUAAUUCCAGUCUGUGGUACAAACCAUUAGGAGUGAUAAUGCAUUUGAACUUGGUUCUAGUGGUGUCGUAGCAACUUCUUUGCUGAACAUGGCAUAAUACAUCAAACUUCUUGCUCUCAAACACCACAACAAAAUGGUGUUGUUGAGAGAAAGCAUAGAUAUCUGCUAGAAACCUCAAGAGCUCCACUCUUUCAUUCUCAGCUACCCAUUAAGUUUUGGGGUGAUUGUGUGCUUACUGCCACCUACCUCAUUAAUAGGUUUCCUUCCAAACUACUUAACAACAAAUUUUAAAACAAGCUCCUCUUACUGCCACCUACCUCAUUAACAGGUUUCCUUCCAAACUACUUAACAACAAAUCCCCUUUUGAAUUGUUGUUUUGCAAGAGUCCAUCCUAUAACCACCAUAAAACAUUUGGUUGCUUAUGUUUUGCCUCAGUCCCUAAACAGAAUAGAGAUAAAUUCCAGCCCAGAGCUGAUCCCUGUGUUUUCCUGGGUUACCCAUUGGCUAAGAAGAGUUACAAGCUGUAUAACUUGAAGUCUAAGCUUACCUUGAUAUCAAGGGAUGUCCUUUUUCAUGAGGAUGUCUUUCCUUUUGCCUCUCCAGGGACUUCUUCCCAUGGCUCCUUUCUCCAUCUCAAUCCUUCUUCUGCCUGGGUUCCUCCUGUUGAUGACUUUCUGCCCAGUCCAUCUUCUUCUUCCUCCCAUCAACCUCUUGCCUCUCCCUCUUCCUCCCCUUCCUCUCCAUCACAUACUUCUUCAGUGCCUUCUUCAUCUGCUCCCAGAAGAUCCAAUAGGGCACAUGUCCUUCCUGCCACCUUCAGCAAUAUGUCUGUAUUCUUCCUCCUUCUCUUUCUGCCCCCAGUUCUUCUUCCACUUGCCUUCACACCUUGGUUAGCAGUCCAGAGUCAGAGCCUACCUCCUACCAGCAGGGUGCUUCCAUUCAUACCUGGAAGGAGGCAAUGGCAAAGGAAUUUGCAGCUUUGGAGGCCAAUCAUACCUGGUCUGUUGUCCCCCUUCCCCCUGGUAAACGACCUAUUGGUUGCAAGUGGGCCUAUAAGAUCAAAUAUAGGGCUGAUGGGUAUGUGGAAAGACAUAUGGCUAGGCUGGUUGUUAGGGGUGACACCUAAGUUGAGGGGAUAGACUUCACUGAGACCUUUUCUCCAGUUGUCAAGUUCUCAAAUAUCAAAUCCCUCAUUGUUGUAGCUGUUAAACAGAAUUGGUCUCUCUUUCAACUUGAUGUGAAUAAUGCAUUCUCACAUGGUGACCUAGCUGAGGAAGUUUAUAUGAAACUGCCUCCUAGACUGGAUGUUGCCUGUUCUACCUCUUCUUCAUCUCCUUUGGUCUGUUUUCAGAAAUCUUUGUAUGGGUUAAGGCAGGCUUCUAGGCAGUGGUAUGCCAAGCUCUCCCAUGCCUUAUGUUCUAAAGGGUUUUCUUCUUCUCUCAAUGACUACUCUAUUUUUCUUAAGAAAUCUGGCUCUUCUAUUGUCUUGUUAGCUGUGUAUGUUGAGGACAUCAUUCUUACUGGUAAUGAUUUGGAGGAAAUCACUGCUUUGAAGACUUUUCUGGAUCAUGAGUUUAAAAUCAAGGAUUUGGGGGUGCUCAACUACUUCCUUGGUAUUGAGGCCAGUUAUCAUUCUGCUGGGCUCCUUCUCCAUCAGAAGAAGUUUGUCACUGACCUUCUCAAAGCCUAUCACUGUGAGGAUAUUUCCCCUGUUACUCGCCCUCUUGACCACUCUGUUAAACUAAAAAUGGAUUUAGGGGAUCCUCUUCCUUCUCCUGAAGUCUAUAGGUGCUUAGUGGGGAAGCUCAAUUUCCUCACCCACACUAGACCUGACUUAGCCUUUGCUGUCCAGCACUUAAGUCAAUAUCUUCAGAAGCAUACCUCCUCUCAUAUGCAUGCAGCCUUACACACACUGAGAUAUCUUAGAGGUACCUCUGACCUUGGCAUCUUUCUCAGCAACACAGCAGACCUCUCCUUAUCUACUUAUUGUGAUAGUGACUGGGCAUCCUGACCAUUGUCCAGCACUUAAGUCAAUAUCUUCAGAAGCAUACCUCCUCUCAUAUGCAUGCAGCCUUACACACACUGAGAUAUCUUAGAGGUACCUCUGACCUUGGCAUUUUUCUCAGCAACACAGCAAACCUCUCCUUAUCUGCUUAUUGUGAUAGUGACUGGGCAUCCUGCCCAGACACCAGAAGGUCUGUCUCUGGUUUUUGUAUAAUGUUAGGUGACUCUCUUAUUGGUUGAAAGGCUAAAAAGCAGCCUGUGGUUUCUUUGUCUUCUGCUGAGGCUGAAUAUAGAGCCAUCAGCAAGGUUGUUGGUGAGCUCACCUGGUUUAUUCGUUUGCUGUCUGAUUUUGGAGUCCCUGUUACCUCCCAUGUCCCUGCCUUCUGUGAUAAUCAAGCAGCACUUCACAUUGCAAAGAAUCCAGUAUUUCAUGAGCGGACCAAACAUAUUGAGGUCGAUUGUCAUUUCAUCAGAGCAAGUUGGAUGAAGGCCUUAUUACUUUGCACCAUGUUUCUACUGCUUCUCAACUUGCGAAUAUAUUUACCAAGCCUCUUACUGGUUCUUUGCAUCAUUCUAUCAUGCUCAAGUUGGGAGUUCAGUCACCCUCCAACUUGCAAGGGGGUGUUGGAGUUAUUGGGCCGCGUCUGUAGCCCAAUUCACUGAAGCAGACACAACAACACAGCAGCCCAAGUCAAGCCAAGUCAAGCCCAUUUGUAAAUAUAUUUAAUUCUGGCCCAAUGGCCCAAUACAAUAUAUAGAAAAUAAUAGUGUAGAUAUUUUGUACAAAUAUACUUUUUCGGAAGCUUCUGAG
rnacentral:lncRNA from 1 species